rnacentral:rRNA from 1 species
UUUAUGGAGAGUUUGAUCCUGGCUCAGAGUGAACGCUGGCGGCGUGCCUAAUACAUGCAAGUCGAACGAUGAAGCUUCUAGCUUGCUAGAGUGCUGAUUAGUGGCGCACGGGUGAGUAACGCAUAGGUCAUGUGCCUCUUAGUUUGGGAUAGCCAUUGGAAACGAUGAUUAAUACCAGAUACUCCCUACGGGGGAAAGAUUUAUCGCUAAGAGAUCAGCCUAUGUCCUAUCAGCUUGUUGGUAAGGUAAUGGCUUACCAAGGCUAUGACGGGUAUCCGGCCUGAGAGGGUGAACGGACACACUGGAACUGAGACACGGUCCAGACUCCUACGGGAGGCAGCAGUAGGGAAUAUUGCUCAAUGGGGGAAACCCUGAAGCAGCAACGCCGCGUGGAGGAUGAAGGUUUUAGGAUUGUAAACUCCUUUUGUUAGAGAAGAUAAUGACGGUAUCUAACGAAUAAGCACCGGCUAACUCCGUGCCAGCAGCCGCGGUAAUACGGAGGGUGCAAGCGUUACUCGGAAUCACUGGGCGUAAAGAGCGCGUAGGCGGGAUAGUCAGUCAGGUGUGAAAUCCUAUGGCUUAACCAUAGAACUGCAUUUGAAACUACUAUUCUAGAGUGUGGGAGAGGUAGGUGGAAUUCUUGGUGUAGGGGUAAAAUCCGUAGAGAUCAAGAGGAAUACUCAUUGCGAAGGCGACCUGCUGGAACAUUACUGACGCUGAUUGCGCGAAAGCGUGGGGAGCAAACAGGAUUAGAUACCCUGGUAGUCCACGCCCUAAACGAUGGAUGCUAGUUGUUGGAGGGCUUAGUCUCUCCAGUAAUGCAGCUAACGCAUUAAGCAUCCCGCCUGGGGAGUACGGUCGCAAGAUUAAAACUCAAAGGAAUAGACGGGGACCCGCACAAGCGGUGGAGCAUGUGGUUUAAUUCGAAGAUACACGAAGAACCUUACCUAGGCUUGACAUUGAGAGAAUCCGCUAGAAAUAGUGGAGUGUCUAGCUUGCUAGACCUUGAAAACAGGUGCUGCACGGCUGUCGUCAGCUCGUGUCGUGAGAUGUUGGGUUAAGUCCCGCAACGAGCGCAACCCCCUUUCUUAGUUGCUAACAGGUCAUGCUGAGAACUCUAAGGAUACUGCCUCCGUAAGGAGGAGGAAGGUGGGGACGACGUCAAGUCAUCAUGGCCCUUACGCCUAGGGCUACACACGUGCUACAAUGGGGUGCACAAAGAGAAGCAAUACUGCGAAGUGGAGCCAAUCUUCAAAACAUCUCUCAGUUCGGAUUGUAGGCUGCAACUCGCCUGCAUGAAGCUGGAAUCGCUAGUAAUCGCAAAUCAGCCAUGUUGCGGUGAAUACGUUCCCGGGUCUUGUACUCACCGCCCGUCACACCAUGGGAGUUGUGUUUGCCUUAAGUCAGGAUGCUAAAUUGGCUACUGCCCACGGCACACACAGCGACUGGGGUGAAGUCGUAACAAGGUAACCGUAGGUGAACCUGCGGUUGGAUCACCUCCUUUCUAGA